UCUCCACCCAAUACAAAUCUUCCUCAUUUCUCUCAAUCUUUACAAAAAUCCUAAACCCCAUUUAAAUCUCCACAGUAACAUAUAAUAGCCACAAACGACGAUGGCUGAUGGUGACCCAUGGCAGCGACCGACGUUUGACGGUGACUCACAACAUGAGCAGAUCAACUACACUUGAAUGGGCACGAACGACUACAUCCAAACGUAUUUCGGUGACCCACUUUCUCCCUUUAGAAUAUGGCUACGCUGUCCUCGUUCUUGUCCUCUACUUCUUUCUCAAUUUCUGGAUUGUUGAUCAAGUUUCAACAGAUCAACAUUAAGGGAUUUGGAAGAAGAUAUGGAGGUCAAUUUGCCAUGGUUUUUAUGGGUAACUAAUCAAACGAAAACCAAAUUUCAAGCUCCGGGUAACCAUUUGUUUUCUUUUCCUCUCUUUAAUCUCUUCUUUCUUGAUUGUGACCAAUGAUAUAUUACUUAUUGCAUUUUUAUUUAUAAUUUUCAAUUUUGUUUACAUUUA